CAUCCUCCUCCGAAGGAUGAAGAGUAUUUACCUGCAUGCCAUGCCAGGCUACGUCUACCUACUAAUAAAUGUCUCUUAGAUGCUGUCAUUACUGUUUCUCCUCUCUGGGUUGAAGGUAGGAUGAGACUGUCAUUACUGUUUCUCCUCUCUGGGUUGAAGGUAGGGUGAGACUGUCAUUACUGUUUCUCCUCUGGGUUGAAGGUAGGGUGAUCUCUCUGGGUUGAAGGUAGGGUGAGACUGUAAUGACAGUUUCUCUCUGGGUUGAAGUAGGAUGAGACUGUCAUUACUGUUUCUCCUCUGGGUUGAAGGUAGGGUGAGACUGUCAUUACUGUUUCUCCUCUGGGUUGAAGGUAGGGUGAGACUGUCAUUACUGUUUCUCCUCUGGGUUGAAGGUAGGGUGAGACUGUCAUUACUGUUUCUCCUCUCUGGGUUGAAGGUAGGGUGAGACUGUCAUUACUGUUUCUCCUCUCUGGGUUGAAGGUAGGGUGAGACUGUCAUUACUGUU